GUCGAGCGGACAGAUGGGAGCUUGCUCCCUGAUGUUAGCGGCGGACGGGUGAGUAACACGUGGGUAACCUGCCUGUAAGACUGGGAUAACUCCGGGAAACCGGGGCUAAUACCGGAUGGUUGUUUGAACCGCAUGGUUCAAACUAAAAGGUGACUCCGGGUGACAAACGGAGGGAGGGGGGGGAGGACGUCAAAUCAUCAUGCCCCUUAUGACCUGGGCUACACACGUGCUACAAUGGACAGAACAAAGGGCAGCGAAACCGCGAGGUUAAGCCAAUCCCACAAAUCUGUUCUCAGUUCGGAUCGCAGUCUGCAACUCGACUGCGUGAAGCUGGAAUCGCUAGUAAUCGCGGAUCAGCAUGCCGCGGUGAAUACGUUCCCGGGCCUUGUACACACCGCCCGUCACACCACGAGAGUUUGUAACACCCGAAGUCGGUGAGGUAACC
rnacentral:rRNA from 1 species